UACGAAGGGGGGCUAGCGUUGUUCGGAAUUACUGGGCGUAAAGGGCGCGUAGGCGGUGUGUCAAGUCAGGCGUGAAAGCCCCGGGCUCAACCUGGGAACAGCGCUUGAGACUGGCACGCUCGAGUUCGGGAGAGGAUGGUGGAAUUCCCAGUGUAGAGGUGAAAUUCGUAGAUAUUGGGAAGAACACCGAUGGCGAAGGCAGCCAUCUGGACCGACACUGACGCUGAGGCGCGAAAAGCGUGGGGGAGC
rnacentral:rRNA from 1 species